UAUACGGAGAGUUUGAUUCUGGCUCAGAACGAACGCUGGCGGCGUGGAUAAGACAUGCAAGUCGAACGCUGGUUUAAAUGUAGCAAUACAGGUAAACCGGAGUGGCGCAAGGGUGCGUAACACGUGGGUAAUUUGCCUUUGAGACAGGAAUAACCCGCUGAAAAGCGGACUAAUACCUGAUGAGGAUGUAUUGGGGGGACCUGAUAUAUUUAAAGCUGGGGACCGCAAGGCCUGGCGCUGAAAGAUAAGCCCGCGACCUAUCAGCUAGUUGGAGAGGUAAGAGCUCCCCAAGGCGGAGACGGGUAGCUGGUCUGAGAGGACGACCAGCCACACUGGAACUGAGACACGGUCCAGACACCUACGGGUGGCAGCAGUCGAGAAUUUUUCUCAAUGGGGGAAACCCUGAAGGAGCGACGCCGCGUGGGGGAUGAAGGGCUUCGGCUCGUAAACCCCUGUCAAGUGUGAGCAAAUGUUAGUGUUUAAGAGAUGCUGACAUGAUAGUAGCAAAAGAGGAAGGGACGGCUAACUCUGUGCCAGCAGCCGC
rnacentral:rRNA from 1 species